CUGUGUCUUACCUCCUUGUUCAGAAAUUCUUUCAAAGCCUCUUGUUGUUUCUGCAUCUGUUCCUUCAGUUUAUCCUGCUUCUGCAUAAGUAGUUGUUCUUGUAUUUUCUGUCUAGAAAGAAGGGCUUCUCUAUGUGCAUCUAGCUGCUCUUGCAAUUCUUUCAAAUACUGCUGCUGAGCUUGGAUGCUUUCUGAUGAGGCCAA
rnacentral:lncRNA from 1 species